UUUUGAUAAAAAAAUGUCUAUAAUAAAUAAAAAUCAUGUGAGAGACAGAUGGCAGAGAAAACUAAUGUCAAUGGUGUGGUUAAUUUGAUUGAAUUGCCCAAUAAAUAAAAAUAAUUAUAAUAUAUUUAGAAAUUUAAAAAUAAGGUAUAAUAAUUUAUAACCAACGGUAAUAGAUGGGGCUUGGAAGUUAUUGCAUUUGAAUGGUUUUUUCUGGGCUAUUACAUUGAUUGUAUGUAAUUUAGAAAUUAAUUUCACAAAAAACAAAAAAACCAAAUAUCAAAAGUUUAAAGAGCAUUUUUUUUGUAUAUUUAGUGUUUUUGUAGUUUUAAGAGCAUAUUUCUUAUAUUUUACCAUUUUUAGAAGUAUAUUCAAUAAUUAUUCAAAAUAAUACAACCGAAAAAUUCAGUAAUAAAUAAAUAAAUGCG